rnacentral:rRNA from 1 species
ACUCAAAUGAAUUGACGGGGGCCCGCACAAGCGGUGGAGCAUGUGGUUCAAUUCGACGCAACGCGAAGAACCUUACCUGGACUCGAAAUGUAGUUGACCGCCUCAGAGAUGAGGCUUUCCCGCAAGGGACGGCUGCAUAGGUGCUGCAUGGCUGUCGUCAGCUCGUGUCGUGAGAUGUUGGGUUAAGUCCCGCAACGAGCGCAACCCUCACCCUUUGUUGCUCGCCCGCAAGGGAAGCACCCGAAGGGAACCGCCUCUGAUAAAGGGGAGGAAGGUGGGGAUGACGUCAAGUCCUCAUGGCCUUUAUGCCCAGGGCUACACACGUGCUACAAUGGCCGGUACAAAGCGUCGCGAACCCGCGAGGGGGAGCCAAUCGCCAAAAACCGGUCUCAGUUCGGAUUGCAGUCUGCAACUCGACUGCAUGAAGCUGGAAUCGCUAGUAAUCGCGUAUCAGAACGACGCGGUGAAUACGUUCCCGGGCCUUGCACACACCGCCCGU